rnacentral:rRNA from 1 species
GACGAACGCUGGCGGCGCGCUUAACACAUGCAAGUCGAGCGAGCGGCGGACGGGGGAGUAACACGUGGUAACCUGCCUUAGACAUUGGGAUAGCCUCGGGAAACCUGGAUUAAUACCAAAUGCGCUAAGAUGGACGCGGGUCCCAUUAGCUAGUUGGUGAGGUAACGGCCCACCAAGGCGACGAUCUCUAGCUGGUCUGAGAGGAUGACCAGCCACACUGGGACUGAGACACGGCCCAGACUCCUACGGGAGGCAGCAGGGGGGAAUAUUGCACAAUGGGCGAAAGCCUGAUGCAGCCAUGCCGCGUGUAUGAAGAAGGCCUUAGGGUUUUAAAGUACUUUCAGCGGGGAGGCGUUACCCGCAGAAGAAGCACCGGCUAACUCCGUGCCAACCGCCGCGGUAAUUC